GUCGAACGAGGAUUUAACGGAAUGCGAUUCGUCAAAUGAAAUUAAAUCCGACUGUCGGACGGGUGAGUAACGCGUGGAUAACCUGCCUCACACAGGGGGACAACAGCCGGAAACGGCUGCUAAUACCGCAUAACAUGAGCAGCUCGCAUGGGCAGCUCACCAAAGAUUUUAUCGGUGUGAGAUGGAUCCGCGUCUGAUUAGCCAGUUGGCGGGGUAACGGCCCACCAAAGCGACGAUCAGUAGCCGACCUGAGAGGGUGACCGGCCACAUUGGGACUGAGACACGGCCCAAACUCCUACGGGAGGCAGCAGUGGGGAAUAUUGCACAAUGGGCGCAAGCCUGAUGCAGCGACGCCGCGUGAAGGAUGAAGUAUUUCGGUAUGUAAACUUCUAUCAGCAGGGAAGAAAAUGACGGUACCUGACUAAGAAGCCCCGGCUAACUACGUGCCAGCAGCCGCGGUAAUACGUAGGGGGCAAGCGUUAUCCGGAUUUACUGGGUGUAAAGGGAGCGUAGAUGGCAUGGCAAGUCUGAAGUGAAAGCCCGGGGCUUAACCCCGGGACUGCUUUGGAAACUGUUAAGCUAGAGUGCAGGAGAGGUAAGCGGAAUUCCUAGUGUAGCGGUGAAAUGCGUAGAUAUUAGGAGGAACACCGGUGGCGAAGGCGGCUUACUGGACUGUAACUGACAUUGAGGCUCGAAAGCGUGGGGAGCAAACAGGAUUAGAUACCCUGGUAGUCCACGCCGUANACGAUGAAUACUAGGUGUUGGGGAGCNUAAGCUCUUCGGUGCCGGCGCAAACGCAUUAAGUAUUCCACCUGGGGAGUACGUU
rnacentral:rRNA from 1 species